GCGCGAAACCUUUACACUGCACGACAGUGCGAUAAGGGGACCCCAAGUGCGAGGGCAUAUAGUCCUCGCUUUUGUGUACCGUAAGGUGGUACACGAAUAAGAGCUGGGCAAGACCGGUGCCAGCCGCCGCGGUAAUACCGGCAGCUCAAGUGAUGACCGAUAUUAUUGGGCCUAAAGCGUCCGUAGCUGGCCGCGUAGGUUCGUCGGGAAAUCCAUCCGCUCAACGGAUGGGCGUCCGGCGAAAACCACGUGGCUUGGGACCGGAAGGCUCGAGGGGUACGUCCGGGGUAGGAGUGAAAUCCCGUAAUCCUGGACGGACCGCCGAUGGCGAAAGCACCUCGAGAAGACGGAUCCGACAGUGAGGGACGAAAGCUGGGGUCUCGAACCGGAUUAGAUACCCUGGUAGUC
rnacentral:rRNA from 1 species